AACAAGAAAAUUAUAACCUUAACGAAAGAACGACAAUGUAAGCAUAAUGCUAUCUAUUGGUGCAAACCGAAAUUACUUUCUUGCCAACCCGAUAAGAUCUCCGGACCCAAAAGAUAAACAGAAAGAAGGUAUUAAACGGUGAUAAAGGGCGACAGCGCGAGAACUCGUGAAGAGUAAUCGCGCGAGAGAAUCGGGACGAAAAUACAGAGAAAGAUGUCCGAAAGCAUAAACGACGAAGACGGUUGCCGUAACGCUAUCUAUUGGUGCAAACCGAAAUUACUUUCUUGCCAAGCCAAUGCAUAGAUGGACACAAGUAAUUUCGAUGAUCAUCGUGAUUGUUAACUUCGAGGUUAAGAUCGUUAACUCGAGAUAGUCUAGAACGACUCAAAGCGUAUAAAUUAAUUGUAUGAAGCGUGGUUUGGAAACUUUGUUUCGUGCGCUUCGAUGGCUCAGAUUUGUGCGCCAUGAGAGGAAAUCUGGGAUUCAUAGUCAAGGAUUGUUCCACGAAAUUGUUUAAUGCUAACAAAAAUGCCGAUCGUUCAUCAAGGACUUCUUCACGGGGACAAAUUUAAAUUUAUUUCGCCAUUCCACAAUUACACCAAUGCACUUCCGCGAAGGACAAACUAAAGAAGUUCGAUCAACGGUGUUAAAUUGUCCUGUAUCUGUUCCUAUCUGCAACAGGAACAAAAUUAUAACCCAACUAAAACUCAAUUUGGUUUUUUUGCGCAAGAAAUCUCCUGAUAGAAACAGUCUCUCGUUCUGGUUGUUAUGAAAUGAUUCACGAAAAUUGAGAUUUCCACAAGGAUCCCCCUGGUUUGCAAACAAUCUAACUUCGCGCAUCAGAGUCAGCGCCGACGUGUCAAGGAGUCAAUAUUUUGGACGCUAAAAAUUCUGUCGAAGAGUCGCUAAUAGACAGGCGACGAUGAACCCUCGCUAUCCAAAGGUUGUUCCACCAGGCGAGGAGCUCGCGAGCGGACGCAGAUUACGCCCGUAAACGUCGCAGCCGAUGACAGACGAGGCAAAGGGAAAUUGAAAUUCGAAGAGGCCGGUCGCCUGCGAUGGGAAAAGAGCCCCGCAUGUCCUCGAUGUAGCGGUCGUUCGGGGGAUGGUAAAAGUCGCUGACAAAAUUGAAGGAUCGUCUCCGGGCAGCCUCGUUUCGUGGAAGAGCGCGAGCGCGAUAACUUCGAUCCUUCCGACAACGGCAAUAAAGAAGGAACACGUUGCCCUUCUAAUGGCAUUUAGCUAUUGUCUCUUUACGCCAGAAUUAACGACCGGGAUUUAGAGAGCGUGGGAGAGCAGCAUUUCCAAUUAAACGAGCCGCCGGCGCCUCCUUCGAGCCGGUCUUCGAUCGGCUGCGACACGGUUUUUUUAAAUUGCGGUUUCGAGCCGACCUUGAGACCAAGGGACGUUUUAACGGCCACAGAAAUUCUCAACAAGGAGCACAGUUUCGAGCAACGAACAUCUUCCUCGCAAAGCGAACAUACUUUUUUUGCAUCUUCGAUCCGACCACGUCGAACAGACGUUGGAUACAACGAAUGCAUUUGCAUAAAAUAACAGAACGAACUUCGCUUCUUUUCACUACGCUGUUUCCAGCGAUGAUCUCGAAUGACGUUACCGAAUGCGACCGUGCCGGCUGUGAAAUCGUCAAAUGUAGCUUGCCACAAAACAGAAUAGGUUAAACAUGAAAUGGUCUGACCGCCACGAAAUCGUCCAAUAGAGCUUCUCCAGUAACACCGAACAGUGCGAACGACCAUAAUCGCGGGCACUAUACUUCCCCGAAGAAGCAAAGAACACGAUCUCCACCAGGAUAAAAAUUUCGCCUCGCUUUCCUUCUCCUGUUUACCGAGCGACGAUGUUCAACGCCCAAACUGAUCUUUGAUCGAGACCACGCGGCGAGUCAGUCGACGCGACGAUUACGCGCAGGAUGUUUUACCCGACGCCAAACAACUCUUGGUAACCUACGCUCGUCGAUCGUGACCGAACAGAUCGUGUGCGACCAGAAGAACGCUGACAUCCAGUUUCCUCUUCGGCGGGAACGGAGGGAUGCACCGAGGCAAUAAACCCAGCGGGACCAUAAAGAGGGAUUUCGCGAAAGUGUAUGCGGUCAGUAGGGGUGGGCAACUCGGUCAGAGUGUUAUACGAAACAGCCUACUUCGACCCCCCCUUAUUAUCAGGCGUCGUUCUUUCACACAAACAAAGCGUUCUCGAAUUUUCAACCCCUUUUUCGAACCCCCUUUAAGCCCCAGAAUUUUCAGCCACUCUGAGACUUGCAAAUUACAGAAGACAGAGGAAAAGUUUCGAGACAAAAGAUUCCUCCUUCCAAUGAGAUCGUGUCGUAAUCUUUUACUGCUGCAGCGAUUCAAACUUUUCUGUUAUUAAUCAUUCUCUAGUAUACAUGUAUCGUGUGGCUACGUUUUCUUUGGGAGCUUGACGGCUGCAAGAAAGUUGUGUUUCAACUUGAAAGCGAGAAAUCAUUUUAUAUUUUAUUGAAUAUGUAAUGUAUGUAUAUGUAUAUCCCGGUGCCACGAAGCAGAAAACAAUUUACGAAAGACUGUAACGAGUGUCCAGAGUCACCCCAAUUAUGUUUACAAUGUUUUAACGAAUUCCAUCGUGACUAAUAAAAUGUUAUGCCAA